rnacentral:rRNA from 1 species
CCUACGGGAGGCUGCAGUGGGGAAUAUUGGGCAAUGGGCGCAAGCCUGACCCAGCAACGCCGCGUGAAGGAAGAAUGCUUUCGGGUUGUAAACUUCUUUUGUCAGGGACGAAGCAAGUGACGGUACCUGUCGAAUAAGCCACGGCUAACUACGUGCCAGCAGCCGCGGUAAUACGUAGGUGGCAAGAGUUAUCCGGAUUUACUGGGUGUAAAGGGCGUGUAGGCGGGGAAGUAAGUCAGAUGUGAAAGCCACGGGCUCAACCUUUGGCCUGCAGUUGAUACUGUUUUUCUUGAGUGCUGGAGAGGUAAUCGGAAUUCCGGGUGUAGCGGUGAAAUGCGUAGAUAUAAGGAGGAACACCAGUGGCGAAGGCAGAUUGCUGGACAAUAACUGACGCUGAGGCGCGGAAGCGUGGGGAGCAAACAGGAUUAGAUACCCCAGUAGUC